UCAAGGUGUUGCGAAAAUAAAAUCUUGAUUGCAGACAAACCCUAAUUUGACACAAUUAAAAAUGGUUGUCGUUUCAAAUGUUAUCAAAGUAAAAGAAGAGAAACCAAUCGAAGAAGAACCAAAUAGUCGCAUUGAUAUCAAGGUCGCGAGUUAUCACGGUAAUGGUAAUAGGGUUGGCUUUAGGAUCAAGCGCAAUGCUCGGAUGGGUAAACUUAUGCAAGCCUACUGUGAAGCAUUAAAAAUUGAUAUUACGUCCAUCAAAUUCAUACUUGACGGUAAACAGAUAAAGCAAGAACAUACAGCAGAUCAACUUAAAUUGGUAGACGGGGACGAGAUUCAGGUCGUACAUGACAUGAUAGGGGGUGGCUUGGUCUUAAUGUGACGAUGAAGGUCUUUUUACCAUUAGUAUUACGUUCUAGUUAUGAAACGUUAUCUGAUGGUAUUUACAAGAGUAACAAGUGAACUCUCUUGCUCCCAACUUCAGAGGCCAAUUCUGAUGAAAGAAGGAAAUUUAGCCGGCAGUUUCCUACUCCCAGAUCCGUUGGAUUUUUUUUUUUAAAAUUCAAGAGUAUCUGAGCUAUAACAGUAUUUGUAGUAGUAAGUUGUUUUAGAUCUAAUCCCAGAUCUGCCGGUCCUAUAUUUUUGAUACGUUAGCCAAGGAUUUUAACCACCCAGUAUUUUGAAGGUCAUGAGUUUUAUCCACUGAAGUUUAGUUGGUAGAGGUGUUUAGCCGUAAAAUAAUAGGCUGGUUAAGGCGUUAGGUGCCCCGUUGGUAAAGAAUUCGACCAACAUUAGGUCCGGCCGUUGACAUUGACUUGGUUAAGGCCCUCUGCCAACGACUUUGAAAGUGAUUCACAAAUGUACAA